AUUGAACGCUGGCGGCAUGCCUUACACAUGCAAGUCGAACGGCAGCACGGGUGCUUGCACCUGGUGGCGAGUGGCGAACGGGUGAGUAAUACAUCGGAACAUGUCCUGUAGUGGGGGAUAGCCCGGCGAAAGCCGGAUUAAUACCGCAUACGAUCUACGGAUGAAAGCGGGGGACCCUCGGGCCUCGCGCUAUAGGGUUGGCCGAUGGCUGAUUAGCUAGUUGGUGGGGUAAAGGCCUACCAAGGCGACGAUCAGUAGCUGGUCUGAGAGGACGACCAGCCACACUGGGACUGAGACACGGCCCAGACUCCUACGGGAGGCAGCAGUGGGGAAUUUUGGACAAUGGGCGAAAGCCUGAUCCAGCAAUGCCGCGUGUGUGAAGAAGGCCUUCGGGUUGUAAAGCACUUUUGUCCGGAAAGAAAUCCUUGGCCCUAAUACGGUCGGGGGAUGACGGUACCGGAAGAAUAAGCACCGGCUAACUACGU
rnacentral:rRNA from 1 species